CCCUUAGAUGUUCUGGGCCGCACGCGCGCUACACUGAACAGUUCAACAAGUCUUAACCUUGGCCGAUAGGUCUGGGUAAUCUUUGAACGCUGUUCGUGAUUGGGAUAGACCUUUGCAAUUAUGGGUCUUCAACGAGGAAUUCCUAGUAAACGCAAGUCAUCAGCUUGCAUUGAUUACGUCCCUGCCCUUUGUACACACCGUCCGUCGCACCUACCGAUUGAAUGGUCCGGUGAAAUCUCGGGACGGCGGCUUGGUCGCUUGCGUCCGACUGCUGAAACUUGAUUAAACCAUAUCAUUUAGAGGAAGGUGAAGUCGUAACA
rnacentral:rRNA from 1 species